CCUACGGGAGGCAGCAGUAGGGAAUAUUGCUCAAUGGGGGAAACCCUGAAGCAGCAACGCCGCGUGGAGGAUGAAGGUUUUCGGAUUGUAAACUCCUGUUAUUAGAGAAGAUAAUGACGGUAUCUAACGAAUAAGCACCGGCUGACUCCGUCCCAGCAGCCGCGGUAAUACGGAGGGUGCGAGCGUUACUCGGAAUAACUGGGCGUAAAGAGCGCGUAGGCGGGAUGGCAAGUCAGAUGUGAAAUCCUAUGGCUUAACCAUAGAACAGCAUUUGAAACUGUUAUUCUAGAGUAUGUGAGAGGUAGGUGGAAUUCUUGGUGUAGGGGUAAAAUCCGUAGAGAUCAAGAGGAAUAUUAAUUGCGAAGGCGACCUGCUAGCACAUAACUGACGCUGAUGAGCGAAAGCGUGGGGAGCAAACAGGAUUAGAUACCCGGGUAGUC
rnacentral:rRNA from 1 species